AUUGUGUGCUCUCAUCUCUUCCUCAUUCUUCCUCAUUCUUCCUCUUCACCGUGCCUUAGCAUCGGUGCAGUCUCAUCACCGACAUUGUCCGACGUCUGCGCAUCGCCUUCUCGGACAGAGCCGGUCCUCACUGUCCGUCACUCUUUGUCAUCUAUCGAAGCCAAAGCUUGUCGUCUCUAGUCGUUCAUUGUUGACCUGAGCUGAAUGACGUAGCAUCUUGCGCCUCGCGCCUGCAUCAUCUUUUUCAUUGCAAGCUUCCCAUCGUUGAGGUUUGUGGUGUCAUUGGGGAUAUAGCACUCGAAUUACUUGAGUUUCCAACAAGUUUGGUUGGAGUUCAAUUCUCCACUACUUGGGUUUGGUUCCUUAGACUUUAGUUCGAUCAAGGAGUUAAAGGUUUAUUACAAAGGCCAUUUCUAGAUUAUCUGGUUCAUUGACGGACAAUGGAAGAUAAAGUCACUGUCCCACCUAAAAGAGAUUAGAAACAAAUGGGACAUGAAGAGGCAACUGUAGCUGUUCAUGAAGAAAUGAAACGAGUGCAAAAGUUUCCUUCUAACAGUACCUAUGCUACUCAUCGUUUGCGGGUUUUAAACAAAAUUCUGCAGCUUUUAUCAAUUCAGAGAACUGUAUCUCAGGAAGAGGAACUGGAGUUGCUGUUUUCUGGGCUUUCCUUGUGAUAAGUUGUAGCUUGAGAAUGUCUAGUACAGUUUAACUUCUCUGUACAAAUACAACUACAGAAUGAAGGGUUGCUAGGAUUUUGUUGGUCGCCCUCGGUAUACCAUACCAUACCACAUACGUUUCUGUAUCAAUAUCCUAAAAUGCUUAUCAUAUGCUCUCGAAGGGACAAUGUCCUUAAUCCUUAAAAUAAAAUUUGGGUGAAAAGUAAAUCAUUAUUAUUUGUUGUUAUCUUACCUCAGUUUCUACUCUCCUCUCUUUCUUCUCCAUUUUGCCGCCGCCCGCGUCGCUGCUGUCACUGGUUAGUACAAUGCACGUAACUCCUUUCUUUCUCUUUUCCCCACUCAUUUCCUCUUGCAUCACGGCCGCCCUGACGCAACUGCUGCUACUGUGGCCGCUUGCCGGAAUCCCUAUAUCGAAUUCGUAAAUUUCGACCAUCGUAUCUCAUUCUCGCAUAUAGAUAAGUUGUGGUGUAAUCUCUGAAUUCUUAUGGCCUUGAUCCUAGCAAGAGAAAGUCUAUUGCAUUCCAGAUUAUCCACGAUUUUUCCUUUGCAAUCUAGCUUAGUUUCAGCUUUGCAGAGCUUUGCUUUGAUAUCAGCUAAAUCAGCUUGUAGUAAAAAGCUGAUCUUACUAAAUUUUUUUGGGAACUCUACAGUUACAGAGCUAUGGAAUACGAAGUCUCAAAUUCCAUUUUUUCGCUGUGUUUCUACUUCUGUACACCCCACAAAAUUAUGUUGGGGAGGUUCAUCUUAUGAUGUGCUAUUGGGAAAGCUCGAAAUUGCUUUGAAGGAUCAUCAAAUUGAUGAGGCUUGGGAGUUGUUUAGUGAUUUCAGAAGGCUAUAUGGUUUUCCGAACGACAAUUUUUUGCUUAUGUUGGUUUCUCAAUUGUCCUAUACUUCUGAUUCCAAGAGGCUACACAAGGCAUAUAACUUGGUUCUUCAAAACUGGAAAGAAAAGCCAGUUGUAUUGCAACUUGAUACCUUAACUAAACUUGGCCUUGGGUUGGCAAGAUCCCAAAUGCCGAUUCCUGCUUCGGAGAUUCUUAGAUUGAUGCUGCAUACAAGGAGACUACCGCGAAUGGAACUCUUGCAGUUGGUUAUUCUGCACAUGGUGAAGUCGGAGGUCGGAACAUAUCUUGCGUCUAAUAUUUUGGUCCAGAUUUGUGAUUGUUUCUUACAACAGGCUGCAAGUAGAGAUGACCAAGCGAAGUCGAUGGAACCGGAUACUAUGCUAUUUAACCUACUGCUCCAUGCCUGUGUUAGGUUUAAAUUAUCUUUAAAGGGGCAGCAACUAGUGGAAUUGAUGUCUCAAACUGAGGUGGUUGCUGAUGCACAUACAAUUGUCCUUAUUGCACGGAUUUAUGAAAUGAAUGGUCAAAGAGAUGAGCUAAAGAAUUUGAAAACCCACAUUGAUCAAGUUCCUUCAUUGGUUUGUCAUUAUUAUCAGUUCUAUGAUGCCUUGUUGAGCUUGCACUUUAAGUAUGAUGAUUUUGAUUCUGCUGCUAAUCUCAUGCUGGAAAUAUGUAGAUUUGGUGAAUCUAAAAGCAUUCAAAAACAUUGGAGGGAAUUGCAAAAAUCUAGCUUUCUUCCAAUUGGAUCACGUCAUCUAAAGGAUGGAUUGAAGAUAAAGAUGAUGCCAGAACUACUGCAGAAAGAUUCUGUUCUCAAUGUGGAAGUCAAACCAGAGUUCAUAAAUUAUAAGAAUGGGAAGCUUGUUGCGAGUAAUAAGACCAUAGCUAAAUUCAUUGUUGAACUCAGGAGGGUUGGAGAAACAUCUGAGCUCUCAAAACUUUUGCUUCAAGUUCAAAAAGGGCUGGCAUCAGUUGAAGGUUCUAAUUUGUGUUCUGAUGUAGUUAAAGCUUGCAUUUGUUUAGGUUGGCUCGAAACUGCUCAUGACAUUUUGGACGAUGUUGAAGCAGUUGGCUCUCCAAUGGACUCCGCAGUAUAUUUCUUGCUCUUGAAAGCAUAUUAUAAACAGGAUAUGCUCAGGGAAGCAGAUGUGCUUCAAAAACAAAUGACAAAGGUUGGUCUGUCCAUCAGUACCACCAAGGACAUGACUAGCUCUAUGUGUUCUUCCAGUCGAAUUUUGUUGCCAAACAUCGAAGGAGCCACCCACACAUCUCUGGUUGAAUCUCUAAUUCAAGAAAUGAAAGAGACUAGUUCAGUGUCUGGAGUUCUCAAGUUCAAUUCAUCCAUUUACUUUUUCUGCAAGGCCAAAAUGAUUGAGGAUGCCUUACAGGCAUACAAAAGAAUGCAACAAUUGGGCAUCCAACCUACCGCUCAAACUUUUGCCAAUCUUGUUUUUGGAUUUUCUUCUUUGCAAAUGUAUAUCAACAUUACGAUUCUAUGGGGAGACAUGAAAAGGAGAAUGCAGAGUGUGCAUUUGGUGUUGAGCAGAGAUCUCUAUGAGUGCUUGUUGUUGUGCUUUCUUCGAGGUGGUUACUUUGAGAGAGUGAUGGAAAUUGUAGGACGCAUGGAGGAGCAGAAUAUGUACACUGACAAGGGGAUGUACAAAAGGGAGUUUCUAAUGCUUCAUAAGAAUCUUUAUAGGAGCUUAAAGCCAUCAGAAGCCAAAAGUGAGGCACAAAAGAAAAGAUUGGAGGAUGUUAGAGCAUUCAAAAAAUGGGUCGGUAUGUAUGAAGCUUGAAACUGGUGUAACAGAAACAUAUUUUGUUUAGAUUUUGGUAGCUAUUAGGAGCCCAGUUGAAGGCCGUUAAAAAAAAGAAACUGUCAGGAGAACCAGAGUCUAAAGAAAAGAUCUUCUGUUUACUAAAUUGGAAAAAUAGUGAGACACGUCUUCAUUGUUUAGAUGUGAUCAAUUUGCGAACAAUGAAGGGGCCACCUUUUCAAAAUUGUAACUCUUUUCUGCUUACAACUUGAUUGAAACCAUCACACAGUUCGCAUAAACAAGGAGGCAAUUAUAUACGUUGGAAAUGGGAAGACAUGGCGGUUCGAAAACAUCAAUAUCAAAGGUGGAUAAUUUUUGGAUUCUUGUGUUCUUAUGGAUUCCAACCAUAGUUAUUUAGCAGCAACUAAGCAAGGAUGAGGUGUACUUGAAGUGAAGCUCUCAAGAUAUCACCAGCAAAGCAAUGUGAUCGUCUGCUUAUUUUAAAAAAAAAAAAAAAGCUUCACAGUGCUGAUUGAAUCAUCAGACAUUGAAGCUUCUCAAGAACUGGACCUAUCAAUUUGUUGUGAUUCGUCCUUGUCGCUUGCAUUGUAUUCCCUGGUGAUCUUCUAUCAUGUAUUUGAAAAGGAGUUGAAGCCACAUAGCCCUCUCGCAAAGUUCUUGUGCAUCAAAGGGAUUGUCUUUUUCUGCUUUUGGCAGGGAAUUGUUCUUGAGAUGCUUGCUGCAGUGGGCAUAAUCAAGGCAGAACAUGCUUGGUUUGAUGUUGAGCACAUAAAUGAAGCCUUACAAAAUACUUUUGUUUGUGUGGAGAUGGUUUUCUUUGCGAUGAUUCAGAUGUCUGCAUAUAGUGCUAACCCAUACAAAUCUAAAUCUGAAGCAAAAUCUAAAUUGGAGAAGAAGGAACAGUGAAAUCUCACUUGGUUCGGUAACACGCAUCAAUUUAGACGAGUA